GACAGAGGGUGCAAACGUUGCUCGGAAUUACUGGGCGUAAAGCGCGUGUAGGUGGAUUGGUGUGUCAGAUGUGAAAUCCCUGGGCUCAACCCAGGAACUGCACCUGAAACUACCAGUCUUGAGUGGUGGAGAGGGAAGUGGAAUUCCUGGUGUAGAGGUGAAAUUCGUAGAUAUCAGGAGGAACACCAGCGGCGAAGGCGGCGCUCUGGGCCGGUACUGACGCUGAGGAGCGAAAGCGUGGGUAGCAAACAGG
rnacentral:rRNA from 1 species